AAAACAGGUGCUGCAUGGUUGUCGUCAGCUCGUGUCGUGAGAUGUUGGGUUAAGUCCCGCAACGAGCGCAACCCUUAUCUUCAGUUGCCAGCAGGUAAAGCCGGGCACUCUGGAGAGACUGCCGGGGAUAACCCGGAGGAAGGUGGGGAUGACGUCAAAUCAUCAUGCCCCUUAUGAUUUGGGCUACACACGUGCUACAAUGGCGUAAACAAAGGGAAGCGAGCCCGCGAGGGGAAGCAAAUCCCAAAAAUAACGUCCCAGUUCGGAUUGUAGUCUGCAACCCGACUACAUGAAGCUGGAAUCGCUAGUAAUCGCGGAUCAAAAUGCCGCGGUGAAUACGUUCCCGGGUCUGUAAACACC
rnacentral:rRNA from 1 species